rnacentral:rRNA from 1 species
AUUGAACGCUGGCGGAAUGCUUUACACAUGCAAGUCGAGCGGCAGCACGGGGGCAACCCUGGUGGCGAGCGGCGAACGGGUGAGUAAUACAUCGGAACAUGCCCAGUCGUGGGGGAUAACACUUCGAAAGAAGUGCUAAUACCGCAUACGUCCUGAGGGAGAAAGCGGGGGAUCUUCGGACCUCGCGCGAUUGGAGUGGCCGAUGUCAGAUUAGCUAGUUGGUGGGGUAAAGGCCUACCAAGGCAACGAUCUGUAGCUGGUCUGAGAGGAUGAUCAGCCACACGGGGACUGGGACACGGCCCAGACUCCUACGGGAGGCAGCAGUGGGGAAUUGUGCGCAAUGGGGGAAACCCUGACGCAGCAACGGCGCGUGAGUGAAGAAGGCCUUCGGGUCGUAAAGCUCUGUCAAGUGGGAAAAAAGCUUUCCGGUGAACAGCCGGAAAGGUUGAUGGUACCGCUGGAGGAAGCACCGGCUAACUCCGUGCCAGCCGCCGCCGUAACAC